AUGUCCCCUUUAAUAUAUAUAUGCUAAAUGUUUUGCGAUUAUCUUUUGAAAAUUCUAAGUAGGAUUGGAUAUCAUUAUUUGGAAGGUAAAAUUUUGACCAAAGAAAAGAGAUCAAAAGUAUUCUAUUUCUGCAAGUAUGGUUAUGAUGGAGUUUCUUCAAUUAAGUCGAUCAGGGAGUGGACUGAGCUGAGGAUUAUUGACGAUGAAGAAAUUUGAAUUAUUGUUGAAGGGCUGCAAAAAAUGUGUCUGUGGAUGGAAUUGUAUGACACGAACUUAAAGUGAUUGACUUUGCUGAAUAUAUCAACGAUAUGUAUUGCAAUACCCUUGCGAGAAGGACUGGAGAUCGUUGGAGAGUAAUAUUCUAACAAAAUUGACGGAAAAAAAAUUCAGUUUUCUUUGGAAGAAUAUGCGAUUCACAAUCAGUACUGGUGAAACUGGAUUCUAAGAGUAUGAAAAGUUUUUUCAAUCAAGUAGAUCGCGGUUAGAUCCAAUAUGAUGGGAAUGGAGUCGAGUGAGAGAUAAAGAAAAUUGCGAUUCUGCAAAUAGUAUGUAGAUCAAGUAGAUCGCAGAGGUGUUCAAUAUGAUGAGAAGACUGGACUCGAAAUAUAAAAAAUAUUUUGUUCCCGCUAGUUUGAUGGACGUUCUUCAAUCAAGUAGUUCGCGAAAGUAUUAGAUAUGAUGAGAGGAUUAGUGGAAAUAUUCAAUAUGAUGAGAAGAUUAGACUUGAAAGAUCAAAAGUAUUCUGUUUCUGCCAGUUUGAUGGUCGUUCUUUAAUCAAGUAGAUCGCGGAUGCAUUUAGUAUUAUUAGACUGAGCUCAAGAUAUCAAGAAAAUUAUCUUUCUACAAAUCAGACGAUGUUUCUUCAAUCAAGUAGAUCGCCGAGAUAUUCAAUAUGAUGAGAAUGGACUUGAUAGAUCAAAAGUAUUCUGUUUCUGACAGUAUGAUGAUGGUUCUUCAAUCAAGUAUAUCAUGGAAGUAUUCGAUAUGAUGAGACUGCACUCGAGGUAUCGAAAAAAUGGUGUUUCUGAACAUAAGAUGGUCGUUCUUAAAUCAAGUAGAUCGCGGAGGUAUUUAAUAUUAUGAGACUGAACUCAAGAUAUCAUGAAAAUGGCAACCCUGCAAAAUCCAUAUUUAAUGUGGCGAGAAGACUGGACUCGAUAGAUCAAAUAUGAUGGUACUGCUUCUAUAAAGUAGAUUGCGGAGGUAUUCGAUAUGAUGAGAAGAUUAGACUCGAGAGAUAAAAAGUAUUCUGUUUCUGCCCGUAUGAUGGUGGUUCUUCAAUCAAGUAGAUGAGGGAGGUAUUCGAUAUGAUGAGACUGCACUCGAGGUAUCGGGAAAAUUGUGUUUCUGAAAAAAGUAUAUCGCGGAGAUAUUUAAUAUUAUGAGACUGGACUAAAGAUAUAUAUAUGAUGAGAAGACUGCACUCAAGAUAUCAUAAAAAGUGCAAUUCUGCAAAUUCAAUAUUCAAUAUGAUGAGAAAACUGGAUUCGAAAGAUCAAAAGUAUUGUUUCUGACAGUAUGAUGGUGGUUCUUCAAUCAAGUAGCUCGCGGAGGCAUUUACUAUGAUGCGACUGGACUCAAGAUAUCAAGAAAAUUGUCUUUCUACAAAUCAGAUGGUGUUUCUUCAAUCAAGUAGACCGCCGAGAUAUUCAAUAUGAUUGGACUCGAAAGAUCAAAAGUAUUCUGUUUCUGACAAUAUGAUGGUGGUUCUUCAAUCAAGAAGAUCGCGGAGGCAUUUAAUAUUAUGAGACUGAACUCAAGAUAUCAUGAAAAUGGCAACCUUGCAAAAUCCAUAUUUAAUGUGUCGAGAAGACUGGACUCGAUAGAUCAAAUAUGAUGGUGUUUCUUCAAUCAAGUAGAUCGCGGAGGUAUUCGAUAUGAUGUGACUGCACUCGAGGUAUUAGGAAAAUUGUGUAUUUGCAAGUAUGAUGGAGUUUCUUUAAAUUAAGUAUAUAACGGAGGUGUUUAAUAUGAUGCGACUGGACUCAAGAUAUCAAGAAAAUUGUCUUUCUACAAAUCAGAUGGUGUUUCUUCAAUCAAGUAGAUCGCCGAGAUUUUCAAUAUGAUGAGAUUGGGCUCGAAAGAUCAAAAGUAUUCUGUUUCUGACAGUAUGAUGGUGGUUCUUCAAUCAAGAAAAUCGCGGAGGUAUUUAAUAAUGAGACUGAACUCAAGAUAUCAUGAAAAUGGCAACUCUGGAAAAUCCAUAUUUAAUGUGGCGAGAGGACUGAACUCGAUAGAUCAAAUAUGAUGGUGUUUCUUCAAUCAAGUAGAUCGCGGAGGUAUUCGAUAUGAUGAGACUGCACUCGAGGUAUCAGGAAAAUUGUGUAUUUGCAAGUAUGAUGGAGUUUCUUUGAUUAAGUAUAUAGCGGAGGUAUUCAAUAUGAUGAGAAGAUUAGAGGAGGUAUUCAUUAUGAUGAGAUUAGACUCGAGAGAUAAAAAGUAUUCUGUUUCUGCCAGUAUGAUGGUCGUUCUUCAAUCAAGUAGCUCGCGGAGGUAUUCGAUAUGAUGUGACUGCACUCGAGGUAUCAGGAAAAUUGUGUAUUUGCAAGUAUGACGGAGUUUCUUUAGGUAUAUAGCGGAGGUAUAUAAUAUGAUGCGACUGGACUCGAGAUAUCAAGAAAAUUGUGUUUCUGCAAAUUCAACAUGAGAUAUGAUGAGAACACUGGACUCGAUAGAUCGAAAGUAUUUUGUUUCUGACAGUAUGAUGGUGUUUCUUCAAUCAAGUAGAUCGCGGAGGUAUUCGAUAUGAUGAGACUGCUCUCGAGGUAUCAGGAAAAUUGUGUAUUUGCAAGUAUGAUGGAGUUUCUUUGAUUAAGUAUAUAGCGGUAUAUAGGUAUUCAAUAUGAUGAGAAGAUUAGAGGAGGUAUUCAUUAUGAUGAGAUUAGACUCGAGAGAUAAAAAGUAUUUUGUUUCUGACAGUAUGAUGGUAGUUCUUCAAUCAAGUAGUUCGCGGAGGUAUUCAAUAUUAUGAGAAGAUUAGUGGAAAUAUUCAAUAUGAUGAGAAGAUUGGACUCGAAAGAUCAAAAGUAUUCUGUUUCUGCCAGUUUGAUGAUCGUUCUUCAAUCAAUUAGCUCGCGGAGGCAUUUACUAUGAUGCGACUGGACUCAAGAUAUCAAGAAAAUUGUCUUUCUACAAAUCAGAUGGUGUUUCUUCAAUCAAGUAGAUCGCCGAGAUUUUCAAUAUGAUGAGAUUGGGCUCGAAAGAUCAAAAGUAUUCUGUUUCUGACAGUAUGAUGGUGGUUCUUCAAUCAAGAAAAUCGCGGAGGUAUUUAAUAAUGAGACUGAACUCAAGAUAUCAUGAAAAUGGCAACUCUGGAAAAUCCAUAUUUAAUGUGGCGAGAGGACUGAACUCGAUAGAUCAAAUAUGAUGGUGUUUCUUCAAUCAAGUAGAUCGCGGAGGUAUUCGAUAUGAUGAGACUGCACUCGAGGUAUCAGGAAAAUUGUGUAUUUGCAAGUAUGAUGGAGUUUCUUUGAUUAAGUAUAUAGCGGAGGUAUUCAAUAUGAUGAGAAGAUUAGAGGAGGUAUUCAUUAUGAUGAGAUUAGACUCGAGAGAUAAAAAGUAUUCUGUUUCUGCCAGUAUGAUGGUCGUUCUUCAAUCAAGUAGCUCGCGGAGGUAUUCGAUAUGAUGUGACUGCACUCGAGGUAUCAGGAAAAUUGUGUAUUUGCAAGUAUGACGGAGUUUCUUUAAGUAUAUAGCGGAGGUAUAUAAUAUGAUGCGACUGGACUCGAGAUAUCAAGAAAAUUGUGUUUCUGCAAAUUUAACAUGAGAUAUGAUGAGAACACUGGACUCGAUAUAUCGAAAGUAUUUUGUUUCUGACAGUAUGAUGGUGGUUCUUCAAUCAAGUAGUUCGCGGGGGUAUUCAAUAUUACGAGACUGGACUUAAGAUAUCAAUAUGAUGAGAGGACUGGACUUAAGAUGUCAUCAAAAUUGCAAUUCUGCAAAUUUAAUAUUCAACAUGAUGAGAGAAGAUUGGACUCGAAAGAUCAAAAGUAUUCUGUUUCUGACAGUAUGAUGGUGGUUCUUCAGUCAAGUAGUUCGCGGACAUUCAAUAUGAUUAGACUGAACCCGAGGCAUCAGGAAAAUUGUGUUUCUGCAAAUUCAACAUGAGAUAUGAUGAGAGGACUGGACUCGAUAGAUCAUAUUUGGUGGUGUUUCUUCAAUCAAGUAGAUCGCGGUACCUCCGCAAUAUGAUGAGAAGAUUGGACUCAAGAUGUCAUCAAAAUUGCAACUCUGCAAAUUCAAUAUUUAAUAUGAUGAGAAGAUUGGACUCGGAAGAUCAAAAGUAUUUUAUGUCUGCUUGUUUUAUGGUCUUUCUUCAUUCAAUUAGAUCGUGGAGGUAUUUAGUAUUAUGAAACUGAACUCAAGAUAUCAUAAAAAUGGCAACUUUGCAAAAUCCAUAUUUAAUGUGGCGAGAAGACUGGACUCGAAAGAUCAAAAGUAUUCUGUGUCUGACAGUAUGAUGGUGAUUCUUCACUCAAGUAUAUCGCGGGGGCAUUCAAUAUAAGACUGGACUAGAGAGAUCAAGAUAAUACUUAGAAAAUUGUGUUUCUGCAAAUUUGAUGGUGUUUCUUCAUUCAAGUAGCUCGGAGAGUGGACUUGUAUUCAAAAAGAGGACAUUGGACUCUAGAGAUCAAAAGUAUUUCUGCAAGUAUAAUGGAAUUUCUACCACUACUAGAUCACGGGGGCAUUCGAUAUGAUGAGACUGGCGUUCAAAAUGAUGAGACUGGACUCGAAAGACCAAAGGUAUUCUGUUUCUGCAAGUAUGAUGGAGUUUCUUCAAUUAAGUUGAGCGGCGAGGCAUGGGACUGGGCUCGAGAGAUCAUGAAUAUUCUAUUGCUGCAAUAAUGACUAUGAUGGAGUUUUCUCGAUCAAUGUUAGAGCGUUAAAAUGAAAAACACUCCACAUUUGCCGAAUUCAAGAUCUUAA
rnacentral:sRNA from 1 species